rnacentral:rRNA from 1 species
GACGAACGCUGGCGGCGUGCUUAACACAUGCAAGUCGAACGGAAAGGCCCUGCUUUUGUGGGGUGCUCGAGUGGCGAACGGGUGAGUAACACGUGAGUAACCUGCCCUUGACUUUGGGAUAACUUCAGGAAACUGGGGCUAAUACCGGAUAGGAGCUCCUGCUGCAUGGUGGGGGUUGGAAAGUUUCGGCGGUUGGGGAUGGACUGGCGGCUUAUCAGCUUGUUGGUGGGGUAGUGGCUUACCAAGGCUUUGACGGGUAGCCGGCCUGAGAGGGUGACCGGCCACAUUGGGACUGAGAGACGGCCCAGACUCCUACGGGAGGCAGCAGUGGGGAAUAUUGCACAAUGGGCGGAAGCCUGAUGCAGCAACGCCGCGUGCGGGAUGACGGCCUUCGGGUUGUAAACCGCUUUCGCCUGUGACGAAGCGUGAGUGACGGUAAUGGGUAAAGAAGCACCGGCUAACUACGUG